AUUGAACGCUAGCGGGAUGCCUUACACAUGAAAGUCGAACGGAGUGGCGAACGGGUGAGGAAUGUAGCGGAACGUGACCAGGAGCGGGGGAGAAAUACGCGAAAGCGUAGCUAAUACCGCAUACCAUUGGAGCGGCCGAUAGCGGAUUAGCUAGUUGGUGGGGGAACGGCUAACCAAGGCGACGAUCCUGAGCUGGUUUGAGGGGACGACCAGCCACACUGGGACUGAGACACGGCCCAGACUCCUACGUGAGGCAGCAGUGGGGAAUUUUGGACAAUGGGGUAAACCCUGAUCCAGCCCUCCCGCGUGUGCGGUGAAGGCCUUCGGGUUGUAAAGCACUUUUGGCAGGAAAGCGGUACCUGCAGAAUAAGCACCGGCUAACUACGUGCCAGCAGCCGCGGUAAUAC
rnacentral:rRNA from 1 species